GUCGACAGCCAUAUUGCCUUGAACAUACCAGAUCUCUGAUCUCAGAAGCUAAGCUGAGUUGGGCCUGAUAGAUAUUUGGAUGAGAUACCGCCUGGAAAUACCAGGUGCUGUAGGCU
rnacentral:rRNA from 1 species